rnacentral:rRNA from 1 species
CCGUGAGGGAAAGUUGAAAAGCACUUUGAAGAGAGAGUUCAAGAGUACGUGAAACCGUUUAGGGGUAAACCUGAGAAGCCCGAAAGGUCGAAGGGAGAAAUUCAUUCGCGUUUCGUCGCUGGCGUCAGGCGGUCGUGUGACGGGGAGCGUUUCGGCGUUUUCCGCACCUUCAGUCUUUCGAACCGGCGGCGUACGCGUGCACUUUUCUCCUGGUAGGACGUCGCGAUCCGUUGGGCGUCGGUCUACGGCUCGCGGUGGAGCCCGUUCGUCGAUUCGUCGUACGAACGGACCCGCGUGUCCCGGCUGACUCGCUCGACGGUAUACGAAAGGUUUAAGGCCGCUCUUGGAGCGUUCGGCUCGCGGCAAGCGCGCCAGUUGCGUCGGCGAUCGGACCUAGUGCCGAUUCUGACCUCUGGUGACUGUUGGCCGUGAAGUUCUCGAACAGACCUUAGGACCGAUCUGCGACGCUAUAGCUUUGGGUACUUUCAGGACCCGUCUUGAAACACGGACCAAGGAGUCUAGCAUGUGCGCGAGUCAUUGGGAAUCACUAAACCUAAAGGCGCAAUGAAAGUAAAGGUCUUCCUAGCGAAGACUGAGGGAAGACGAGCGGUUCACCCUUAAAAGUGGCCGCUCCGCACUCCCGGGGCGUCUCGUUCUCAUCGCGAGAAGAGGC